UGUGCGUUAGCGCGGCAGGCUCGACGCUCUUGAAAACCGUCGUGGCGCAAGCCACCGUGGGUUCAAAUCCCACACCCACCGC
rnacentral:tRNA from 1 species